rnacentral:tRNA from 1 species
GGGCCCGUAGCUCAAUUGGAUAGAGCGUCUGACUACGGAUCAGAAGGUUGGGGGUUCGAGUCCCUCCGGGCCCG